rnacentral:tRNA from 1 species
UGCAUCGGCCGGGAAUCGAACCCGGGCCGCCCGCUUGGCAGGCGAGCAUUCUACAACUGAACCACCGAUGC